rnacentral:rRNA from 1 species
CCUACGGGUGGCUGCAGUGGGGAAUAUUGGACAAUGGGCGAAAGCCUGAUCCAGCCAUGCCGCGUGUGUGAAGAAGGCCUUCGGGUUGUAAAGCACUUUCAGUGGGGAAGAAAGCCUUGGGGCUAAUACCCUCGAGGAAGGACAUCACCCACAGAAGAAGCACCGGCUAACUCCGUGCCAGCAGCCGCGGUAAUACGGAGGGUGCGAGCGUUAAUCGGAAUUACUGGGCGUAAAGCGCGCGUAGGCGGUCUGAUAAGCCGGUUGUGAAAGCCCCGGGCUCAACCUGGGAACGGCAUCCGGAACUGUCAGGCUAGAGUGCAGGAGAGGAAGGUAGAAUUCCCGGUGUAGCGGUGAAAUGCGUAGAGAUCGGGAGGAAUACCAGUGGCGAAGGCGGCCUUCUGGACUGACACUGACGCUGAGGUGCGAAAGCGUGGGUAGCAAACAGGAUUAGAUACCCGAUAGUC